ACUCAAAUGAAUUGACGGGGACCCGCACAAGCGGUGGAGCGUGUUCUUUAAUUGGAUGGUACGCCAAGAACCUUACCCAGGUUUGACAUCCUUCGAAGGACUAUGAAAAUAGACUGUGCUUUAUUGAACGAAGUGACAGGUGUUGCAUGGCCGUCGUCAGCUCGUGUCGUGAGAUGUUGGGUUAAGUCCCUCAACGAGCGCAACCCUUAUAGUUAGUUGGAUUUUUCUAGCUAGACUGCCUCGGUAACGGGGAGGAAGGAGGGGAUGAUGUCAGGUCCGUAUUACCCUUACACCUGGGGCUAGAAACGCGCUACAAUGGCCGGUACAAUGGGCAGCCAAAUCGCAAGAUGGAGCUAAUCCCACCAAAGCCGGUCUCAAUUCGGAUUGGAGGCUGAAAUUCGCCUCCAUGAAGCUGGAAUCGCUAGUAACCGUGGGUCAGAACACCACGGUGAAUACGUUCCCGGGUCUUGUACACACCGCCCGU
rnacentral:rRNA from 1 species